rnacentral:rRNA from 1 species
AGAGUUUGAUCCUGGCUCAGAUUGAACGCUGGCGGCAGGCUUAACACAUGCAAGUCGAGCGGAGAGAGGUAGCUUGCUACUGAUCUUAGCGGCGGACGGGUGAGUAAUGCUUAGGAAUCUGCCUAUUAGUGGGGGACAACAUCUCGAAAGGGAUGCUAAUACCGCAUACGUCCUACGGGAGAAAGCAGGGGAUCUUCGGACCUUGCGCUAAUAGAUGAGCCUAAGUCGGAUUAGCUAGUUGGUGAGGUAGAGGCUCACCAAGGCGACGAUCAGUAGCUGGUCUGAGAGGACGACCAGCCACACUGGGACUGAGACACGGCCCAGACUCCUACGGGAGGCAGCAGUGGGGAAUUUUGGACAAUGGGCGCAAGCCUGAUCCAGCAAUGCCGCGUGAGUGAAGAAGGCCUUCGGGUUGUAAAGCUCUUUUGUCAGGGAAGAAACGGCUUGGGUUAAUACCUCGGGCUAAUGACGGUACCUGAAGAAUAAGCACCGGCUAACUACGUGCCAGCAGCCGCGGUAAUACAGAGGGUGCAAGCGUUAAUCGGAUUUACUGGGCGUAAAGCGCGCGUAGGCGGCUAAUUAAGUCAAAUGUGAAAUCCCCGAGCUUAACUUGGGAAUUGCAUUCGAUACUGGUUAGCUAGAGUGUGGGAGAGGAUGGUAGAAUUCCAGGUGUAGCGGUGAAAUGCGUAGAGAUCUGGAGGAAUACCGAUGGCGAAGGCAGCCAUCUGGCCUAACACUGACGCUGAGGUGCGAAAGCAUGGGGAGCAAACAGGAUUAGAUACCCUGGUAGUCCAUGCCGUAAACGAUGUCUACUAGCCGUUGGGGCCUUUGAGGCUUUAGUGGCGCAGCUAACGCGAUAAGUAGACCGCCUGGGGAGUACGGUCGCAAGACUAAAACUCAAAUGAAUUGACGGGGGCCCGCACAAGCGGUGGAGCAUGUGGUUUAAUUCGAUGCAACGCAAAGAACCUUACCUGGCCUUGACAUAGUAAGAACUUUCCAGAGAUGGAUUGGUGCCUUCGGGAACUUACAUACAGGUGCUGCAUGGCUGUCGUCAGCUCGUGUCGUGAGAUGUUGGGUUAAGUCCCGCAACGAGCGCAACCCUUUUCCUUAUUUGCCAGCGAGUAAUGUCGGGAACUUUAAGGAUACUGCCAGUGACAAACUGGAGGAAGGCGGGGACGACGUCAAGUCAUCAUGGCCCUUACGGCCAGGGCUACACACGUGCUACAAUGGUCGGUACAAAGGGUUGCUACACAGCGAUGUGAUGCUAAUCUCAAAAAGCCGAUCGUAGUCCGGAUUGGAGUCUGCAACUCGACUCCAUGAAGUCGGAAUCGCUAGUAAUCGCGGAUCAGAAUGCCGCGGUGAAUACGUUCCCGGGCCUUGUACACACCGCCCGUCACACCAUGGGAGUUUGUUGCACCAGAAGUAGCUAGCCUAACUGCAAAGAGGGCGGUUACCACGGUGUGGCCGAUGACUGGGGUGAAGUCGUAACAAGGUAACC